rnacentral:rRNA from 1 species
UGAGCAAUCUGCCCUUCUCAUCGGAAUAAGCGUUGGAAACGACGUCUAAUGCCGAAUACGACCUCCUUUCGCAUGAUCGGAGGUGGAAAGCUCGGCCCCCCGGAGAAGGAUGAGCUCGCGGCCUAUCAGCUAGUUGGUGUGGGUAAUGGCCCACCAAGGCGACGACGGGUAGCCGGCCUGAGAGGGUGACCGGCCACACUGGGACUGAGACACGGCCCAGACUCCUACGGUAGGCAG